UUCUUGUCAUUUAAAAUUUUUAUGGCAUGAUCUAAACUGCUUAAAAGAUUACUAUACAGUCAUUAUAAAAAGGAAAAGUGGAAGUGAAAACAGACUGCUGCUUUUCACCACACAAAAAUUUCAUCUGUCACAGAAAAAAAGCCUCAUGUAAUGUAAUGGAUGGAACGACUCAAUUGAUGUGAAGAGAUACCCUGACCAGGGCAACUUAUAGAAGCAUGACUUUAUCAGGGCUCACAGCUCAAAGGGUGAGUCCAUGGCCAUCAUGCAGAGGGAGCAUAAGAAACUUCUAGUCAACCUUGUUGGAUCCUUCUUUAAGAGAAGAGUUAAACAGAAGAGCUACUCUUCAAAAUAGGAAACGAAGGUCAUUGUUACCAGGCCUCAGUAAGAUCACAGUACUGCUGGCUCAUAAAGGGCAUGGAGAUGAACUAUUCUGGAGUUUCCAGACACCUGGACA